rnacentral:rRNA from 1 species
CAGCCGUAAACUAUGCGCGUUAGGUGUAUCGGUGACCACGAGUUACCGAGGUGCCGAAGGGAAACCGUGAAACGUGCCGCCUGGGAAGUACGGUCGCAAGGCUGAAACUUAAAGGAAUUGGCGGGGGAGCACCACAACAGGUGGAGCCUGCGGUUUAAUUGGACUCAACGCCGGGAAGCUCACCGGAUAGGACAGCAGAAUGAUUGCCGGGCUGAAGACCCUGCAUGACUAGCUGAGAGGUGGUGCAUGGCGUCAGUGAC